rnacentral:lncRNA from 1 species
GGCCACAUCUGCCAGAGCCUGGAGUCUGCGAAGGCCGGGACCCGGUUCCCCGGCCCACAGUGGGGGUGUGCAAACCCGAGAGAACUGGGUUGCAAAUUCGUGAAGAAUCAGCAUCAUGUUUGGCAGCUGAGUAUUGGAGCCAGGAGCCUGCCAUGAGGUUUUGAGAACAGAGUGCUGUUUUAGAGCUGGCAGCAGCAUCUCAGCCCAAGAGAAGCCGAUGCAGCCUCAGUGUUCCUUUGCCUUGGGGGUUUCUGAGUGGUGGGGUUGUAAGCAGAUCCUGCCAGGCACCCAGAAGGAAACCUCAUCAGGACUCCCUCAGAAAGGCCCUGAAGAAUCCUGUGACCUUCAUCUAAAGUAGGUCAUGAGACCCCUGAGCUUAAAACGGAGUGAUCGGCUUUGGAGAAGUAAGGAGACAUGACGUGCCUGCCCUGGGGUGGGGACUAAACUUCGUGCCACUCCACGUGAAAGGGGGAGGUACGCCUGCUCCCUUUCCUCAAGCCCCCCCCUCCCAAUUUCUGCCAUCCUUGGGUAUGAGCUACACGACAGUCCCUGACCCUAGCUUGGUGCCCUGCACAGACCAGGCAAUGCUGACAUUCCCAUCCGGAGACUGUCCUCACACCAUCCUGGGGAACAUGAGACAUCCCUGGGUAGGGAGGCAAAGCAGGCCCACCCACUGCAGGCUGUCCUCAUUCUGGGGGCUCCCACAGCUGCCCCAGCACAGCCCAGAGAAAGGCUCCCAGCCCAGGUGGCUGGGGUCCAGUGCCCUGGGGACGGGACGUCUGGGCAGGGAAUGUGUGGGUAACCAGCUGAGUUUGCUCCUUGUCAUUUUGUUUGUAUUCUGAACUUUUAAAAUACCUUCCCCACAUGAUUCUUAGAAAUCCCUGGAAGGCACGCAGGCUGGACAUCAUCAUAUAUUCUCUACAGAUGGAGACACCAAGGCCCACGCCUUCUGUGCUGUUGGAAUUUCAGGAAGGAUGGGGGUGGGGCACGGCCUCAGCCCUGGGCAUGUUCUGCAGAUUGCACUGCUCUUAUCUGCCAGGGGGUGGUGAGAGGGUGGCUGAGCUGGACAGAUGGCGGGCAGGGACGGGCUCUGCGGUCUGGCAGCUGACAUUGAUACAAGCAAAAAAAGAGUCUUUGCUGGGG